UCCAGCCAUGCCGCGUGUGUGAAGAAGGCCUUCGGGUUGUAAAGCACUUUCAGCGAGGAAGAACGCUUGUGGGUUAAUACCCCGCAAGAAGGACAUCACUCGCAGAAGAAGCACCGGCUAACUCCGUGCCAGCAGCCGCGGUAAUACGGAGGGUGCAAGCGUUAAUCGGAAUUACUGGGCGUAAAGCGCGCGUAGGCGGCUUGAUAAGCCGGUUGUGAAAGCCCCGGGCUCAACCUGGGAACGGCAUCCGGAACUGUCAGGCUAGAGUGCAGGAGAGGAAGGUAGAAUUCCCGGUGUAGCGGUGAAAUGCGUAGAGAUCGGGAGGAAUACCAGUGGCGAAGGCGGCCUUCUGGACUGACACUGACGCUGAGGUGCGAAAGCGUGGGUAGCAAACAGGAUUAGAUACCCUGGUAGUCCACGCCGUAAACGAUGUCGACUAGCCGUUGGGGUCCUCGAGACCUUUGUGGCGCAGUUAACGCGAUAAGUCGACCGCCUGGGGAGUACGGCCGCAAGGUUAAAACUCAAAUGAAUUGACGGGGGCCCGCACAAGCGGUGGAGCAUGUGGUUUAAUUCGAUGCAACGCGAAGAACCUUACCUACUCUUGACAUCGAGCGAACUUUCCAGAGAUGGAUUGGUGCCUUCGGGAACGCUCAGACAGGUGCUGCAUGGCCGUCGUCAGCUCGUGUUGUGAAAUGUUGGGUUAAGUCCCGUAACGAGCGCAACCCUUGUCCCUAUUUGCCAGCGAUUCGGUCGGGAACUCUAGGGAGACUGCCGGUGACAAACCGGAGGAAGGUGGGGACGACGUCAGGUCAUCAUGGCCCUUACGAGUAGGGCUACACACGUGCUACAAUGGCCGGUACAAUGGGCUGCAAUCCCGCGAGGGGGAGCUAAUCUCAUAAAGCCGGUCUCAGUCCGGAUCGGAGUCUGCAACUCGACUCCGUGAAGUCGGAAUCGCUAGUAAUCGUGCAUCAGAAUGGCACGGUGAAUACGUUCCCGGGCCUUGUACACACCGCCCGUCACACCAUGGGAGUGGACUGCACCAGAAGUGGUUAGCCUAACUUCGGAGGGCGAUCACCACGGUGUGGUUCAUGACUGGGGUGAAGUCGUAACAAGGUAGCCGUAGGGGAACCUGCGGCUGGAUCACCUCCU
rnacentral:rRNA from 1 species